GAUAACAAGCAAUCAAUAUUGAGAGUAGAAAAGAUGAACAUAAUAACAUGAUUUUCUUUUGAUUUCUACUUCUUGGAUUCACUCAAUAUAUGCUGGAAAUUAUAGAAGAAUAGAGGAAAUACAUAUCUUCUGGCUGUAGUGUUUGGUGGGCUAGCCAAUGAACUUCGAACACAAUUUUAACUCUAGAUCUUUAUCUUUAGUGAGAAUGAGAGAGGAAGAGAUGGGAAAAUGAGAGAGGAAGGGAGAGUUUAAAUAGAGAAGGAGAAGAAAAUGAAAGGUUUGGAGGGAAAAUGAAAGGGUUCUUUGAGUUUUAAAACGUUAGGGAGUUACAAAACCGUUUUAAGGGUACAUCAUCCAUUGGUUAGCUUUACAUUGGCUAUCAACCUGCGACUACUUCCCUUUUAUAUCUAGAGUCGAAGUAUGCAAUAAAAGCAAAGCUCACGCAUGCCAUGUGAUUAGACCUUUUUUCAUUUAUCUGAUGAACGUUUUGUGUAUAUUAGGAGAAUAUAUGGAUACUAUGAUUACAAACUACUGGCUUUAGAUAACUUUAUUUAUCUAUCUUGAUACCAACAGGAGUUGUCGUACAAGGAAGAGGACAGUACUGACCAGUCUUCACUCACCUGCAUUGCUUGGUGGCUGAACCCUUUGCUGAUAUGGAAACAAAUUGUGACAAUAGAUCGUUUGGAUCAUUUAUUGGUGUAUAAAGUCCUGAUAUAAUAGAUGCAAUUUGAACCUGCUGCCUGAAAUGGUUCUAUUAGCACUCCUGUAUAAUGGCAAAUCAGUUAUUCUGCUUUUCUUUAUCAUAGGAAAUGUUCGGCGAUUUAGGUGACCUAUUAUAUACAAGUACAGGUUUUGAUUCCUUCUCCUGCAGCCUGCUGGGGAAUAUACUGGAUCGAUGGUUAUUCGUGCAUAUCAUAUGGGUCGAGGAGGACCUGGUAUGGUUGCAAAUUUUGAUCCUCAAAAACACAUUGGGGGACCUGCUGUCCCUGUGGAUUCUGCACUUCAGCAGCCAUUAGGCAUGCCAGCGAUGACUGCUGCAGCCGUUAUGGCUAGAGCUCCUGGAGCUGCUCAGAGUGGCAGCUCACUCGGUCAGUCUGGAGUAGAUCCUUUAACACUAUAUAUGUCCACAACAACAUAGCCAGUGUAAUCCCACAAGUAUGUGAACCUCGGGGAUAACUGCUUGACUUGAUUAUUGUAAUUUUGGUGAUAAGCAAUAUGUAAGCCAACUGCUGCUAGCAAUUCCAAAUUUGUCAAAGCUCUUUUCCAGUCAAGGGGUGACCAUCACCGCAAUGUAUGCAUCAUUCCUGUAUCAGCACAUGGAACAACUCCUACAAGUGUUGCAAUGUGUGGGAUAAAAAUUGUUGUUGUUGGGAUGGAUGCAAAAGGAAACUGAAGCAAAUAAGGAUAAACUUGCUGCUCUCAUGGUUACAUAUCCAUCAACACAUGGAGUGUAUGAGGAAGGGAUUGAUGAGAUAUGUAAGAUAAUCCAUGACAAUGGUGGUCAGGUGUGUACAUGGAUGGAGUUAACAUGAAUGCACAGGUGUUCAAAAUAAAUAAGUAGAUGAAGAAAGAAGUGAUGAAGCAGUUGACCUUAUUACCUGAGAAGAUUUUUGAAUUGUUGAUAGAUGCCUUACUAUCGAUCUUUUUGAUAUUGAAUUUAGUGAGACUUG